UUUCUCAGGACACCCUGCUGCACAGGGAAGUGUGUGAGCAGUCAGGAAAACUUUCUGACACUGACAGGACUCUGCUGCAGAGGUGCAGCUGGGACAAUGCAGCCCUAGAACCCACAGAAUGCAAGAGCUGAGCUAAUGAAGUGUUGGCUGCUGGUAAAGAAAUUAAAGUAUCUGCAGUUCUUCAUAUGACUCCAAAA